rnacentral:tRNA from 1 species
GCGUGGGUUGCGUUCUGCUCGCAGCAGACUGAAAAUCCGUGUGUCGCUGGUUCAACUCCAGUCCUGCCCA